rnacentral:rRNA from 1 species
CAGAGACUGCAAGCGUUAUUCGGAUUCACUGGGCGUAAAGGGUGCGCAGGCGGUCGGGUGUGUCAGAUGUGAAAUCCCGAGGCUCAACCUCGGAACUGCGUCUGAAACUACUCGACUAGAGUACUGGAGAGGGUAACGGAAUUCACGGUGUAGCAGUGAAAUGCGUAGAUAUCGUGAGGAACACCAGAGGCGAAGGCGGUUACCUGGACAGUUACUGACGCUCAGGCACGAAAGCAUGGGGAGCAAAAGGGAUUAGAUACCCCUGUAGUCCAUGCCCUAAACGGUGCACACUAGGUCUUAGCGGAUUCGACCCCACUAGGGCCCAAGCUAACGCGUUAAGUGUGCCGCCUGAGGACUACGGUCGCAAGACUA